GCCCUAUCAACUUUCGAUGCCACUUUCUGCGCCUACCAUUGUGACCACGGGUAACGGGGAAUCAGGGUUCGAUUCCGGAGAGGGAGCCUGAGAAACGGCUGCCACAUCCAAGGAAGGCAGCAGGCGCGCAAAUUACCCACUCCUGACGCGGGGAGGUAGUGACGACAAAUAACAAUACAGGACUCUUUAGAGGCCCUGUAAUUG